rnacentral:rRNA from 1 species
UACGUAUGGAGCAAGCGUUAUCCGGAUUUACUGGGUGUAAAGGGUGCGUAGGUGGCAGUGCGAGUCAGAUGUGAAAGGCCGGGGCUCAACCCCGGAGCUGCAUUUGAAACUGCAUAGCUGGAGUACAGGAGAGGCAGGCGGAAUUCCUAGUGUAGCGGUGAAAUGCGUAGAUAUUAGGAGGAACACCAGUGGCGAAGGCGGCCUGCUGGACUGUUACUGACACUGAGGCACGAAAGCGUGGGGAGCAAACAGG